UACGUAGGGCGCAAGCGUUGUCCGGAAUUAUUGGGCGUAAAGAGCUCGUAGGCGGUUUGUCGCGUCUGCUGUGAAAACCUAAGGCUCAACCUUGGGCUUGCAGUGGGUACGGGCGGACUAGAGUGCGGUAGGGGUGACUGGAAUUCCUGGUGUAGCGGUGGAAUGCGCAGAUAUCAGGAGGAACACCGAUGGCGAAGGCAGGUCACUGGGCCGCAACUGACGCUGAGGAGCGAAAGCGUGGGGAGCGAACAGG
rnacentral:rRNA from 1 species